rnacentral:rRNA from 1 species
GAUGAACGCUGGCGGUGUGCCUAAUACAUGCAAGUCGAGCGAACAGACGAGGAGCUUACUCCUCUGACGUUAGCGGAGGACGGGUGAGUAACACGUGGAUAACCUCCCUAUAAGACUGGGAUAACUUCGGGAAACCGGCGCUAAUCCCGGAUAACAUGCUGAACCGCAUGGUUCAACAGUGAAAGACGGUCUUGCUGUAACUUAUAGAUGGAUACGCGUCGCAUUAGUUAGUUGGUAAGGUAACGGCUUACCAAGGCAACGAUGCGUAGGCGACGUGAGAGGGUGAUAGGCCGCACUAGAGGUUGGACGCGGUCCAUGCGCCUGCGAUAGGCAGCAGUAUGGUAUGGGCCGCAAAGGGCGGAAGCCUGACGGAGUGGCGCGACGUCAGUGGAGGAGGUCUUCGGAGCGGAAAACUGUGUUACGAGUUGAGAACAAAUUUGGAAGGAACUGUGCACUGAGUGACGGUACCAGAUCAGAAAGCCACGGCUAACUACGUG